CAUAAAAUUCUGCCGUGUUCAUUUUCUCGGACUUUUCUUUGACAGCGCUGAUGACCGUAUCGUUUCCGGGGUCUGUGAUUGCAGAGGACAUAAAACAACCACUUAAACUCUGAAAAACAGUGGGAUCUGCAGGAAAGAACGCCUACACGUCCACCACUCAGCACCGUGUUCUGCAGCCCUUGAUGGACGGAAUCGGGCGGAUUUUAAUUGAUUCAACCAGGGUGCUCAUACUCAGAGAGGCAGCGGCCCACCUCUGGGAUGUCACUGCUGAAGAUCACAGAGGGAGGUGUCGGCUCACUGGCAGAGAGAGCCCCUUCCCAAAGGAGCGUGCUGUUUUGCCUUUAAGUUUUGGGUUGAGAUAAGCACCGACUUCGGAAACCUUCCUGUCAAAAAAGGCAGUCUAACAUCCUGCGGCUGUCUUUGAGAGCAAAACAUGUUCUUCACAGCGCUCCCCGAACUUACUGUCGGACAUUCGCUGAGGUUUGACUAGCUAACAACAUCUGGAUGAUCAGCAGGCCUUGUGCGACCUACAGUAACUC